UAAUAGUGUAUAUUAAAGUUGUUGCAGUUAAAAAGCUCGUAGUUGAAUGUUGGUGUCGAACGAGCGGUCAGCUUCGGCUGUACUGCUCUCUCGACUCCUUCCUUCUGUGGACUACGUCGCACUUUACUGUGUGGCGCUAGGACGCAGAUCGUUUACUGUGAAAAAAUUAGAGUGUUCAAAGCAGGCCGUACGCUUGAAUACAUUAGCAUGGAAUAAUGGAAUAGGACGUCGGGCCUAUUUUGUUGGUUCUAGGACCGUCGUAAUGAUUAAUAGGGACAGUUGGGGCCGUUUAUAUUCCGUAGUCAGAGGUGAAAUUCUUGGAUUUACGGAAGAUAAACUACUGCGAAAGCAUUCGGCAAGGAUGUUUUCAUUAA
rnacentral:rRNA from 1 species